UACAGAGGUCCCAAGCGUUGUUCGGAUUUACUGGGCGUAAAGGGUGCGUAGGCGGUCGGAUAAGUCUGAUGUGAAAUCUCUGGGCUUAACCCAGAAAUGGCAUUGGAUACUAUUCGGCUAGAGGAAUGGAGGGGAGACUGGAAUACUUGGUGUAGCAGUGAAAUGCGUAGAUAUCAAGUGGAACACCAGUGGCGAAGGCGAGUCUCUGGACAUUUCCUGACGCUGAGGCACGAAAGCCAGGGGAGCAAACGGG
rnacentral:rRNA from 1 species